ACAGGUGGGGGGCCACACAGAAGGGGGUCGCGGGACGCCAGUUGGACAGCACUGUUCUAGAUGGUUAGCAGGAGUGGUUGUCUCUAGAAUAUCCUAUGUGUUUCUAAGAAAUGUAAAGUUGUUUGCAAGUGUUUAUUUUCCUUCUCAUGCCAAAAUGAUCAAUUUCAGAACAUAAACAUGUGCACUCAAUCCUCCAAGUCCUGCAUAUGUACAGCAAUACUUUGAUUCCCUUCAGUGUGUAGCAACAUGUGACAGAAGGUGCAUGCGCAUUAUGCUGGAGCAACGGGGAAGUUACGUUAUGAAAAUGACGGGACAAACUUCAGUAUACUGAAAAAGUUCUACGCGUUAGCGCCAGAGAUAGAUAAUUAAUAUAUAUUUUUUUUUUAGUUCAGCGUUUCAGGAGAGGGGCAUGAGAUAAGCAUUUUCACUCAUUUUUGUUUAGAUAGGUUCCUUUCUCCCUUAAGGCCUCUUGUUAAGCUACCUGAGGCUAAUCAGGCCCAGCUUGUAAGACUGUAGCACUUACGCUGCUACACAUGCAUUAAUUACAUUCCUCAUCUCUAGUACUACUGUCAAGAAUAAGAUUUACAAAAUCACAGAACAAAGCAUCUCACUGUCAUAAAGACAAAGACUGCAAACAUAAAACUUAAAUGAAGGCCAUGUUUCUUGUGACAUAGGCUAUGGUGCAUGACAUCGUCAUUUGAUUUAACACAGUCCAUUAGCAUAUAUUGAGACAGCAGCUGACCUGCAUAGAAAUCUAUUUUUCAAAAGAGCAAACAGAUUUUUAUGUUAAAAUUUGAAAUAGUCACUCUUUACUGAUGUCACUUGAGUGAUGUCUUCCUCCUUAACAGGCUACCAGCAGAACAAUGUGUAGUUAACAAGAUAACAGCUCCCUGAUACCUGCAUUGCUUACAAAAAGGGGAACAAAGUCUGGCCAUGACACCUCUAAUUAAAUUAAUUUGAAUUGUGAAUUGCUUGCUCUUUCUGAAAACACAGAAUCAAGCUAAAUAACCUGAGAUGGAUGCAUGCACACCAAUAUUAUGACAAAAAAAAUAUACUUAUUGGUUCAAGAAUAGUAUUUUAAAGCUUACAUUUUUAAGGUACACCAUAAAAAUCAUGCUAAAGAACAUGUUCCCAAGUCUCAAAGUGUCCCCUAGAGCACAGAUGAAACUAUGGAAAAUGCAUCCAAUUUGGUUAUCUAACCCAACAGUUCAAACAGAGACCUAGCACUCCAUCCAGCAGUACUGGGAACAAAAUGCCUUUGAUUCCAUAGAAUCUCUUAAAGCAAGUGUUUCAGUCUAUGGGGGUCAAAACAAGAUUCUUAGGAUGAGUAUGCUUACUGUAUAGUGACCCUUAAGCAUGAGUUCAGAUAAAUGGUCACAUAUCCACACCCUUUAAAUAAGCUACGGGUACCAGGCAGAGGUGCACUCUGUCCUCACUGCUGUUUGUCCUAGCCAUUAAGCCCUUGGCCAUUUAAAUAAGAAACCUGAAUCACAUCCAAAGCCUUUAAUUCCAGGGAGUAGAGCAGAAAAUAUCACUGUAUUAUUAUACUUGGCAGACCCAGGAACCUCCUUGUAAGAAGCACCAAAAUUUGGCAAAUUCUCUGGGCUACAUAUUAAUUGGGACAAAUAAUCCAUGUUCCCACUGGACGAAAUUGCCCCUGAGCAGGUAUAUCCAGACCUUCUUCUCCCCUUUGUCAACACAUUUAAAUACCUUUGCAUAAUAAUUCACAAAGACCCACCAAAAUUCACAGACCUUAAUAUCCUUCCACUUGUUGCGAUCCCUGGAGAUUUGGGCCAACCUUCCAUUUACCUUAAUUGGCAGGAUCAACAUUCUUUAAAUAGUAUACUUACCAAAGCUAUUAUACAUAUUCCGCAAUGCGUCUGCCUACCCAAAGCCAUACUGAAAAGAAUCAACAGAAUAACUACUACCUUUAUCUGGGCAAACAAAAUGUAAUAAUUAGCUAGAUUGAUUCUUAUCACAAACGUUAAACACUGGGCACAUUGGAAAAUUAGGAACAGUCAAGAUUUACUUCAUGGAAGUCAUUUUAAAACCAAAACCUAAAUCAGACUACUGCCCACUCUAUACUAGAAAAUCAUCUUUACCACCCCAGUGCCAGGAAGGUAGUAUCCAGCACUUACAAACUUUAGCUAAAUAAAUUUGUGGAUCCACUCCCCAGAGUCAAAUUGAAAAAGGAAAGUCUCAAUCCACCACUAGAUGAAACAGAAAAGGAAGAGAUACAAGAUAACAUGCAACAACCCCUCAUCAGCACGAAAGACCAUUUGAUUCAUUUCGAAAUAGUAUACCAGGUACCUCACCCCUCAAAUGUUAUUUUUUUGGUGGUGAUGCCCUUCAGAGCUUUGGAAAUUAUCUUGUGUAUUCCGGACUGCAUAUUUGUUGUAGGUGUAGCUGUACUUUGUAUCCUUUAUCUAUUUCGCUGCUAUUUUUGCUGCUUGAAGCAUAAAUGGUAGCAGUUGGCUUUUGAGUGUGGUUGAGGUUUGUGUAUCAUAAUGCAAUAUGAGUUUGGGUAAGAAGUCGUCAGCUAGAUAUUCUUGGGUGACCUUUUCGGUUAUUGUGAUUACUUCCUUCCAGUACUUUUUUAAUGCAUCGCAAUGGUACCAUAUAUGACUAAAAGUGCCUUGAUAGUUGAGACAUCUCCAGCAGCGGUCGUGAGCUGAGGGGAACAUUUGUUUCAGUCUGGUUGAGGUGUAGUACCACUGUGUUAUUUAUUUAUAUGUGAAUUUUUGUGUUUUAGACGCCGUGAAUGAUUUAUGGAUUGAACUGCAGAUGUUUUUCCAUUGCUCUGCUGGUAUUUGUAUGUUUAAUUCUUUCUCCCAGCUGGGUUGAUGCAGUUUUUUUUUGUCACAUGGGUGCUAAGAAGUUGUUUGUAAAUUUCUGACAGUGGUCUCUUGAGUUUGAUUUGGGCAGAGAUUACGUUUUCCCAUAACAAAAGCCCAGGCCCAGACAGAUAUGGAGCAUGCUUUAAUAUGACUUUAGAAAAGUCUAAUAUGACUAUUAGAAUACCUCAACUCAAUAGGGCAAAAUACCACACCAGGCUCAAGAUGCCCAUAUACUGUAACCAUCAUCCCUAAACCUAACAAAGAUCCACAACAAUGCAACAGUUACAGGCCUAUUUCACUGAUAAAUGUAGAUCUCAAGAUACAGUAUAUGCCAAACUAAUAGUCAACAGAAUGAUACCCAAACUAAUACACCCAGAACAAUGCGGUUUCGUACCCAAUAGAGAAGGAAAAGUUAACACAACAAAAGUAAUAGCCCUAAUACACCAUGCUAAAUCAAGAGCAAUACCAUUGCUUAUCUUAACCACUGACGCAGAAAAAGCUUUUGACCGGGUCUCAUGGGACUUCUUAAAAUCGGCCUUAAGAGGAUUCAGAUUCCAAGAGACAUUCAUCGCAAAAAUAAACCUGUUAAUUACUAUCUGUGGUACAGUAUAGUGCAAAGAAUAAUACUCUCCCUGAUCUUGCAGAUUCAGUCAUUUGUUAUUGGCUCCUCUUGUUCUCUGAUCCAUUGUCCCCUGUUUCUAGGGGUGCGUGGUGUGUGGUCUCAAGGUUGUGGUUGCUUGGAACUUCCCAUCCCGGUAGCGGGAUUUUUUCCAGUUGUAGGUUGUGGAGGAAGGAUUCUGUUUCGCAGGGUGACCACAGUAUAUGUUGUAUUCCGUCUUUCCUAGCGAUGAGGCUGAACGGGUACCCCCAUUUGUAUUGAAUUCCUUUUUCCCUUAAGGUCUGUCAGGGUUUUAAGUUGUUUUCUCUGGAUUAAGGUUAUCCUGGAUAUAUCUUGGAACAGUGAUAUCCUACAGUCUUCAUAAGUUAGACUGUUUGCUUCUCUUGCUUUAUGUAAUAUGUCUUCUUUUUCUUUAAAAUAGUGCAGGCAGCAUAGUAUGUCCCCAGAUGCAUUCAGUGGAGCACCUUUGGGUUUUGGGACCCUGUGGGCCCUAUCAAUGGAGAUUUCAGUUGUUUGGUAUCUGUUGAGAACGUUAUUGAAUAUUUGUAGUAACAGUGUGUAUCUCAGCUGACUUUAUUACUGGGACUCUCUGACUCUUAUAUUAUUUCUCCUCCCUGUUUUCCAGAUCAUCUAUGUGUCUCUUGAGAUCUUCUAUAUCAUCAUAUCAAAUCAUGAGGAAUUUGAAGUGGAACCAGUUGUGGACUUGUUGCUGCAGAAAAAGGAUUAUCCAAGGGUUUUGGUCUAGAGGAUCUCUCUUCUGAACAUCAAUGUCCAAGCUCCAAGACUGUUAAGAAGUAUUUAUCUUCAGCAUACAGACAAGAAAAUCCACAUCUGUGUCCAGAAGCCAUGCUUGGAGGGUGGGGGCACUUCAGGUCUCCUCUGUCUCUCAGAAGGGGACCAAGGAGGUGUGCAGCUGUGUGGUGUGAUGCAAGGGUGAUAUUUAAGCCAGUUCUACCUUGGGAUUUGUGCUCAGAUACUGUUUUUCCGGUAUUAAAUCUAUGCAUUCUUUGA